AUUUAUGCUUGGCUUCACAGUUUAGUCUGCAUGGUCAUGUCCUCGUUACGGCUGUCUAUGGUCAGUACGUUGGAGCCCUAAGCCCCAAUUCUAGGCUGAACUUGAGGAGAUCCGUUCCACCUUCCAUGAUCCCUAGCUGAUUGUCGAUGACUUCAAUUGUCUCCUCAACCUGCUUUCUCCCUGGGUAUGGUUGUGGCCAAAACUUUCGUGGAUGGGUUCACAGUCUCGUUGCUAAGGACCAAAUGGCUAUUUCCUUCAAUGGGUAUGUUGGAUAAGGCUUCAGCAAGAGGGAGAUAACAUCAAAGGCAAGGUUGGAGUUUGACAAAACAAUGUAGUUUCUGCAGCAAAAAAACACAUAAUUCCUUAGGGCGACUUUGAGAGACAAGGUUUGAGGCAUCACUCCAAACACAUGGGCCAAUUGUGAGCAAAAUUUUGUCACUCAAGCAAGGCACCAUUAAGAUGGUGUCUUCUAUCAACUUCAAUAUCAGAAGGAGAGAGGGGUGCUGAUGGCAUAGGAGGCCGCCCUUUACUGAGCUACUGUCACCAUCAAAGAUACUGAAUGCGAGCUUAACAACAUAACAGCUAACAUGUAGUGCUACCUGGACUUGAGUAUAACCUGCAUUACCAACCUCCAAUGUUUAGGUUGGAUGUUGGUGGCGAACCAGACCAUUACCUCCCCGAAGAGCUUGGAGUAUAGGUGGACCUGCUCCCAAUGACAUUUGAGAUCAUUGCAGAUGGAUGUUGUGUGGCCUUUUCUAGGGGAGUUGGCUCUCCAUGCCUGUUUUGUUUCUCAUUUUCCAAAUCAUAUCAAUUUCCGAACGGAGCACCGAUUGCCAUACAUCUGAUCACCACCCACUUAGAAACUAGUCAUUAGCACUUAAGGGUGAGGUUGAUGAGAUCUAGGCCAAGAGGGAUAUUGCAUUCAAAUUUCUUCUCUGACCAUUUUCAGACUCGAUUGCAUGUGGCAAAGAGAUGAUUGAUGUCUUCCUCUUCAACUUUACAUAGUACACAUUGAUUAGCAAGUGCUACACCAAUCCUCUUUCACUUAUCAAGAAUGAGCUGCCUCUUCUCACAAGCAAGAUAGGAGAACCAUUUGGCACUGGAUGGUGCCUAAAUAUAUGUGUGCCAAUCAGCUGGGUCACAUUUUUCUAUAAUUAAGUUAUAAAUCUCCAAGCUGGUGAGUGAGGAUGCGUUAGCUGAUUCUAUACAAAGAUGAUCCAAAUCUUGGGAUAUGGUAACACUAUGAGCCACUUGCCCCACCCAAAGUUGAUGAAACCAUCCUACCCAACUGCUCCCAAUCGUGUAGAGUAUGUUUUAUCCUAUGUCCCAGCCAAUGGCUCUUUCUUUGAGUGCUUUCUUUGUGCAACACUUUCUAUUUAUCUUGUAAUGAUGGACUCGUAUCAUGAUGAGAAAGAUCAAAGCAGCUGUGUGCUGGUUUAUACCAUGGAUGUAGGUCCAAAGGACUUAACCACGUUAAUUUCUAUGUGUUUUCUAUUCUUUUUCAACUUCACGCCAUGAUAUUAGAGCAAAGGUUUUGC